rnacentral:rRNA from 1 species
UGGGGAAUUUUGGACAAUGGGCGAAAGCCUGAUCCAGCAAUGCCGCGUGUGUGAAGAAGGCCUUCGGGUUGUAAAGCACUUUUGUCCGGAAAGAAAUCCUUGGCUCUAAUACAGUCGGGGGAUGACGGUACCGGAAGAAUAAGCACCGGCUAACUACGUGCCAGCAGCCGCGGUAAUACGUAGGGUGCAAGCGUUAAUCGGAAUUACUGGGCGUAAAGCGUGCGCAGGCGGUUUGCUAAGACCGAUGUGAAAUCCCCGGGCUCAACCUGGGAACUGCAUUGGUGACUGGCAGGCUAGAGUAUGGCAGAGGGGGGUAGAAUUCCACGUGUAGCAGUGAAAUGCGUAGAGAUGUGGAGGAAUACCGAUGGCGAAGGCAGCCCCCUGGGCCAAUACUGACGCUCAUGCACGAAAGCGUGGGGAGCAAACAGGAUUAGAUACCCUGGUAGUCCACGCCCUAAACGAUGUCAACUAGUUGUUGGGGAUUCAUUUCCUUAGUAACGUAGCUAACGCGUGAAGUUGACCGCCUGGGGAGUACGGUCGAAGAUUAAAACUCAAAUGAAUUGACGGGGUCAUAGCUGUUUCCU